GCGGUGGCGGCGGGCUAUACAUGCAAGUCGAGCGAACUGAUUUAGAAGCUUGCUUUCCUAUGACGUUAGCGGCGGACGGGUGAAGUAACACGUGGGCAACCUGCCUGUAAGACUGGGAUAACUUCGGGAAACCGAAGCUAAUACCGGAUAGGAUCUUCUCCUUCAUGGGAGAUGAUUGAAAGAUGGUUUCGGCUAUCACUUACAGAUGGGCCCGCGGUGCAUUAGCUAGUUGGUGAGGUAACGGCUCACCAAGGCAACGAUGCAUAGCCGACCUGAGAGGGUGAUCGGCCACACUGGGACUGAGACACGGCCCAGACUCCUACGGGAGGCAGCAGUAGGGAAUCUUCCGCAAUGGACGAAAGUCUGACGGAGCAACGCCGCGUGAGUGAUGAAGGCUUUCGGGUCGUAAAACUCUGUUGUUAGGGAAGAACAAGUACGAGAGUAACUGCUCGUACCUUGACGGUACCUAACCAGAAAGCCACGGCUAACUACGUGCCAGCAGCCGCGGUAAUACGUAGUGGCAAGCGUUAUCCGGAAUUAUUGGGCGUAAAGCGCGCGCAGGCGGUUUCUUAAGUCUGAUGUGAAAGCCCACGGCUCAACCGUGGAGGGUCAUUGGAAACUGGGGAACUUGAGUGCAGAAGAGAAAAGCGGAACUCCACGUGUAGCGGUGAAAUGCGUAGAGAUGUGGGAGGAACACCGGUUGCCGAACGCGGCUUUUUCGGUCUGUAACUGACGCUGAGCGUCGAAAGCGUGGCGAGCAAACACGAUUAGCAUACCGCUGUAGUCCAACGCCGUAAACGAUUGACUGCUAAUGCUAGGAGGGUUCCGCCCCUUUUAUGCUGCAGCUGAUGCACUAGUCACUCCGACUGGGGAGUAUGUCGCAUGACUGAUACUCCUAAGAAUUGACGAGCGGCCGGCACAGCGGUGAGCCAUAGUGGAUUCAUUACAAGCAUCGCACGAGCCUAUACGGCGUUGACAGUCACUGGAAGUCCUAGAAUUACGGUCCCUCGAGCACAGACAGUGGUCUGACUGUUCUCACCUGAC
rnacentral:rRNA from 1 species